UACGUAGGGGGCAAGCGUUAUCCGGAUUCACUGGGUGUAAAGGGAGCGUAGACGGCGACGCAAGUCUGGAGUGAAAGCCCGGGGCCCAACCCCGGGACUGCUCUGGAAACUGCGGCGCUGGAGUACGGGAGGGGCAGGCGGAAUUCCUGGUGUAGCGGUGAAAUGCGUAGAUAUUAGGAGGAACACCAGUGGCGAAGGCGGUCUGCUGGACAGCAACUGACGCUGAGGCGCGAAAGCGUGGGGAGCAAACAGG
rnacentral:rRNA from 1 species